rnacentral:lncRNA from 1 species
UUAGUUGCUGUACUCGGUGACUCUCCUUCUCCAUCUUAUUUUUCGGAAAGUUUCUGCCUUUCCUUUGUAUUUAACAUAUCAUUAAAUGCCCAUUUCCAUAUCAGAUACAUUAACUCAAUUCCCUCAUUUCACAUUCACUUUAAAAUACAUUUUCCAUUUCAGUUUCUUUGUUCAUUGAUCAUCUUUAUGGAUCCUGAAUCUGGAACCCCCACCCGGGACUCUCAGCUGGUUGGUACUUUUUUAAUUUUUUUCCUCUUUUAAGGUGCCGAACUUGUUGAUAGUUUGUAGUCAAUUAAAAUGUAUGUGAAAGUUUUGUUGCUUUCAUUCAUUUUUAGUUUGGUUUUACAGAGUGUAGUUCUGAUCAAGCAGUUGAAACAGAGGAUUGAGAGGCUCAAGAAUAAGAAUAUGAUAAAUAGGUAAAGCCGCCUAAUUUUAAUUCCUCCAAUUUUGAGAUAUAUAUUGAAGUAAAAUAUAAUAAAAUUUUAGUUUCUGUAACUUCAAAAAAUUGCAUCUUGGAUCUGGGUUGUUAAUUUAAUGGUCACUAUAAUUAUUGCACCCAUAUAAUAGGUUUCAGAUUAUACACGAAUAGGAUUAUUGUUAGAUUAAUUGUUCUGCCUAAUUAUCUAGCUAAUAACUGAAUGAAAAUCAUAUCAUAGAAUAUAAAUGUUCAUUUACCAUUUUUGAUUUAGCCAUCUUGAGGAUGUUGACAAUAAUUCUCUUUUAUUUUUGUUAGGUGGCAAGAUUCAAGUGUAUAUAUAGACUGGAACUGUAGUGUUGUAAGGAGUAAGAAAAAUAUAUUUAUUAGAACAACUUUGAUAUGUUGGUGAAAGCACUUGAGCAUGAUUUAACUUUCGUGAUUUCCUCUCUGCAAUUGUGUGGCUCUGAAACAACUAAAGUUUUGAGGAAAUCAUAUUUGAUAUUACUUUCUUUUUUAUGCUAUUUUGGCAAUGUUGAUAUGAUUUGGACACUAAUCAAAUUGGGAUCACAAUUGACAUUUUUUUUCCCUUUGUUAAGAAAGACAAAAGCUAUUGACAGUAUUGGCCAUUUGAUUUUCUUUUCUCCCUAUGCAUUAUUCUUAAGCUUUUUAAGUACAUUGUCUCCUUUCCUGAACCUUGCAAUUUUCUUUUCUUUUUUCCCUUGCAAUUUUAUUACAAUUCUGAGUGUUUGAUGCUUGCUGGUGGAACUUGAGUUUUUCAUAAAUGAAUAUGCUAAUGCUUUGCUAGAAUGUAACGUUGCUGAUGAACGUGCCAAAAUAUUGGCUUCUGAUCUUAUUGGUUUCGAAGAGAAGGUAAAAAUUCUUUGAUAUGUUGAAUUUAUUUCCUUGAUUUUCCCCCUUUUCCUGUACUGUCAUUCAAGAAGAAAAAAUAAUUAUCUCCUUUGGCUAUUAAAGGAAGGAUUGCUUCUGCAGAAAGUGUUGUAGAUUUAUUGGCAAAUCAUUGUUUUGUAGAUAAUAUGCUAGAUCACAACUGUUUUUCUACCCAUCGAGGCAUAUUUUGUGUUUUGUGUAUAACAAUAUGAAGUUUGGAGCUUUGAUUUAGCAUGAUUGGUGAUUGACCCCUGUUAAAUGUAGUUCAGCUUCAUGUAUAUAUGCUUGAUUCAUUCAAAUGUGGCAUUGAUUAGUUUACAUAUUCUGAUGAAAUUUCUGCUUUCAAUAACCAGAAUGUUACACACAGAUGUGAAAAAAGAAAAUAAAGUGUGUAAUUAUUUUCAUAUCGCCUAUUGCUAAAAAGAAUGCUGGUGCUCUUGUAUUCAACCCUUAACUUGCUGGAGUAUUUCUUUUUUUUUUUCAUCUUAUCCUUUAAUUAGGAUUUCUAGUAUAUCUCUUGGGACCAAUUAGUUAUGAGGCUCAGUCUACCUCUACUCAAUUCACUUGAAAAUAUCAAGCUAAAACCACUAAUUUAGAAUUUGAUCGUGAAAACCCUAUGGACCAAGCAUCUCUACUUGCUAUUGUUUGACCUAUUUGCAUUUGAGGCAUUAGGUGGAAAAAAAACAUAGGUGAUAAUACCAUUAUGAGUUAAGCCAAUCAUACUUUCUAGAAAUGUGUUCAAAAUGGCCAUUCCAACUAAUGCAAACCAUACGUGUGAAAUUUUUAACAAAUAUUUUGGAUUCCUAAAAGAAAGAUUUUAAAUCUUCUUGAUUUUAAUAAUGAGAUUUUCCCAUUCUCAAUGUAUUGUUUAAUAUACUCCUAGACAUUGUGGAGCAUGCCAUAUGUUUGUCCUUACAAUAUAUUGCAUAUACAAGUUAGUUUACUAUACGCCUACAACAUGUUUAACUGAGUAGCUCAGAGAAACUUGGUUUAGCACAUAUAGCAUCUUUCUUUCUUGAUAUGUUGAUAAAGCCCUAUCUAAAGAAUUGAAUCAUCCAUGUUUUAUUUCUAAUUGCUUCAUUCCUUCUAUCUUUAGAAUUGGAUGAUCAUAUAAAGCACUUUCCAUUCAAUACAGUUACAUCAUGUGUGUGGACUGUGGUGAUGCAAAGAAUGAUCAGUGUUCUUGGUUGGCAUUGAGUUCUUUGAUGGUAAAGUUGUAAUUUUGUAGGGGAUACUCUGGUUAAAUUUUAGUUUUAUUUAUAUUUUCUAAUUAUUAUUACUAUUAUUGUUGUUAUUAUUAUUAUAAGUUAACAAAAUAAAUUGUUACUGAUUGCUAGAUCUAGUUCUACUAAGUACGAAAAUAAUAUAUAGUUUUUUUACUGUGUUUAUCUUGAAUGCAGGAUGACUUACAAUAAACUAAAGCACGUACAGUGGUCAAAACUAAAUAAUCAGAGCAAAUAAUCAAAGCACGUACGUAAUAGAAUAACCGUGUGUUGGAUGAAGGUGUUGCUGCUAUACAUCAGUUUAUAAAUUACUUGUAGUUGGUAAGCAAUGUAAUAAAUUUUCAACAAUGUAAUAAUUUUUAAAUAGUUCAAUGCAAUGUAAUACGUUUCAUAUUGUUAAAAUAUUUCAAUUCAAAUGCCAAAUGCAAAUUUUCAAUCUCUAUUA